UAGCAGUGAGAAUGGACAUCCUAGUGUUGUUCCUGAUCUAAGAGGAAAUGCUUUCAGUUUUUCACCAUUGAGAACGAUGUUGGCUGUGAGUUUGUCACAUAUGGCCUUUAUUAUGUUGAGGUAGUUUCCCUCUAUGCCCACUUUCUGGAGAGUUUUUAUCAUAAAUGGGUGUUGAAUUUUUUCAAAAGCUUUUUCUGUAUUUAUUGAGAUGAUCAUAUGGUUUUUAUCCUUCAAUUUGUUAAUAUGGUGUAUCACAUUGAUUGAUUUGCAUAUAUUGAAGAAUCCUUGCAUUCCUGGGAUAAACCCCACUUGAUUAUGGUGUAUGAUCCUUUUAAUGUGCUGUUGGAUUCUGUUUGCUAGAAUUUUGUUGAAGAUUUUUGCAUCUAUAUUCAUCAGUGAUAUUGGCCUGUAGUUUUCUUUUUUUUGUGACGUCUUUGUCUGGUUUUGGUAUCAGGGUGAUGGUGGCAUGGUAGAAUGAAUUUGGGAGUGUUCCUCCCUCUGCUAUAUUUUAGAAGAGUUUGAGAGGGAUAGGUGUUAGCUCUUCUCUAAGUGCUUGAUAGAUUUUACCUGUGAAGCCAUCUGGUCCUGGGCUUUUGUUUGUUGGAACAUUUUUAAUCACAGUUUCAAUUUCAGUGCUUGUGAUUGGUCUGUUUAUAUUUUCUAUUUCUUCCUGGUUCAGUCUGGGAAGGUUGUGCUUUUCUAAGAAUUUGUCCAUUUCUUCCAGGUUGUCCAUUUUAUUGGCAUGUAGUUGCUUGUAGUAAUCUCUCCUGAUCCUUUGUGUUUCUGCCGUGUCAAUUGUUACUUCUCCUUUUUCAUUUCUAAUUGGAUUGAUUUGAGUCUUCUCACUUUUUUUCUUGAUGAGUCUGGCUAAUGGUUUAUCAAUUUUGUUUAUCUUCUCAAAGAACCAGCUUUUAGUUUCAUUGAUCUUUGCUAUUUUUUCCUUCAUUUGUUUUCACUUAUUUCUGAUCUGAUCUUUAUGAUUCCUUUCCUUUGCUAACUUUGGGGGUUUUUUGUUCUUCUUUCUCUAAUUGCUUUAGGUGUAAGGUUAGGUUGUUUAUUUGAGAUAUUUCUUGUUUCUUAAGGUAGAAUUGUAUUGCUAUAAACUUCCCUCUUAGAACUGCUUAUGCUGUAUCCCAUAGGUUUUGGGUUGUCGUGUUUUCAUUGUCAUUUGUUUCUAGGUAUUUUUUGAUUUUCUCUUUGAUUUCUUCAGUGAUCUCUUGGUUAUUAAGUAGUGUAUUGUUUAGCCUCCAUGUGUUUGUAUAUUUUACUGAUUUUUUUCCUGUAAUUGAUAUCUAGUCUCAUAGCAUUGUGGUCGGAAAAGAUACUUGAUAUGAUUUCAAUUUUCUUAAAUUUACCAAGGCUUGAUUUGUGACCCAAGAUAUGAUCUAUCCUGGAGAAUGUUCCAUGAGCACUUGAGAAGAGAGUGUAUUCUGUUGUUUUUGGAUGGAAUGUUCUAUAAAAAUUAAGUCCAUCCUGUUUAAAGUAUCAUUUAAAGCUGUGUUCCCUUAUUUAUUUUCAUUUUGGAUAAUCUGUCCAUUGGUGAAAGUGGGGUGUUAAAGUCCCCUACUGUGAUUGUGUUACUGUCAAUUUCCUCUUUUAUGGCUCUUAACAGUUGCCUUAUGUACUGAGGUGCUCCUAUGUUGGGUGCAUAAAUAUUUACAAUUGUUAUAUCUUCUUCUUGGACUGAUCCCUUGAUCAUUAUGUAGUGUCCUUCUUUGUCUCUUGUAAUAAAUAGUCUUUAUUUUAAAGUCUAUUUUGUCUGAUAUGAGAAUUGCUACUCCAGCUUUCUUUUGAUUUCCAUUUGCAUAGAAUAUCUUUUUAUAUCUCCUUACUUUCAGUCUGAAUGUGUCCCUGGGUCUAAAGUGGGUCUCUUGUAGACAGCAUAUAUAUUGGUCUUGUUUUUGUAUCUGUUCAGUCAGUCUGUGUCUUUUGGUUGGAGCAUUUAGUCCAUUUACAUUUAAGGUACAUUUACAUUUAUUGAUAUGUAUAUUCCUGUUACCAUUUUCUUAAUUGUUUUCAGUUUGUUUUUGUAUGUCUUUUCCUUCUCUUGUGUUUCCUGCCCAGAAAAGUUCCUUUACCAUUUGUUGUCAAGCUGGUUUGGUGGUGCUGAAUUCUCUUAGCUUUUGCUUGUCUGUAAAGGUUGUAAUUGCUCCAUCGAAUCUGAAUGAGAUCUUUGCGGGGUAGAGUAAUCUUGGUUGUAGGUUUUUCCCUUUCAUCACUUUAAAUAUGUCCUGCCACUCCCUUCUGCUUGCAGAGUUUCUGCUGAAAGUUCAGCUGUUAACCGUAUGUGGAUUCCCUUGUAUGUAAUUUGUUGCUUUUUCCUUGCUGCUUUUAAUAGUUUUUCUUUGUAUUUAGUUUUUGAUAGUUUGAUUAAUAUAUGUCUUGCUGUGUUUUUCCUUGUAUUUAUCCUGUAUGGGACUCUCUGUGCUUCCUGGACUUGGUUGCCUAUUUCCAUUCCCAUGUUAGGGAAGUUUUCAACUAUAAUCUCUUCAAAUAUUUUCUCAGACCCUUUCUUUUUCUCUUCUUCUUCUGGGAGCCCUAUAAUUCAAGUGUUGGUGUGUUUAAUAUUGUCCCAAGGGUCUCUGAGACUGUCCUCAAUUCUUUUCAUUCUUUUCUCUUUAUUCUGCUCUGUGGCAGUUAUUUCCAUUAUUUUAUCUUCCAGGUCACUUAUCUGUUCUUCUGCCUCAGUUAUUCUGCUAUUGAUUCCUUCUAGAGACUUUAUAAUUUCAUUUACUGUGUUGUUCAUCACUGUUUGUUUGCUCUUUAGUUCUUCUUAGGUCCUUGUUAAACAUUUCCUAUAUUUUCUCCAUUCUAUAUCCAAGAUUUUGGCUCAUCUUUACUAUCAUUAUUCUGAAUUCUUUUUCAGUUAGACUGCCUGUUUCCUCUUCAUUUGUUUGGUCUGGUGGGUUUUUACCUUGCUCCUUCAUCUGCUGCAUAUUUCUGUCUUCUCAUUUUGUUUAACUUACUGUGUUUGGGGUCUCCUCUUCACAGGCUUUGGGUUCUUUGUUCCUUUUGUUUUUGGUGUCUGCCCCCAAUGGGUGAGGUUGGUUCAGUGUGUUGUGUAAGCUUCCUGGUGGAGGGGACUGGUGCCUGGGUUCUGGUAGGUGGGCCUGGAUCUUCUGGCAGGCAGGGCUGUGUCUGGUGGUGUGUUUUGGCAUGUCUGUGAACUUAGUAUGAGUUUAAGCAGCCCUUAUGCUUAUGCGUGUGGUUGUUUUUUUGUCUUACUAGUUGUUUGGCAUGGGGUGUCCAGCACUGGAGCUUGCUGGCCAUUGGGUAGAUCUGGGUCUUAGCGUUGAGACGGAGAUCUCUGGGAGAGCUCUCACCAAUUGAUAUUAUGUGGGGCUGGGAGGUCUCUGGUGGUCCAGUGUCCUGGACUUGGCUCUCCCACCUUUGAGGCUCAGGCCUGACAUCCGGCUGGAGCACCAAAACCCUGCCAGCCCCACGGCUCGGAAGAAAAAAAAAGGGGGAAAAAGAAACCAGAUAGAAUCCCAAACCAAAUGGUAAAAGCAAAACUAGACAAAAUCACACAAAGUAACGUACACACACACACUCAUAAAAAGAAAUAAUAGGGGCUUCCCUGGUGGUGCAGUGGUUGGAAGUCUGGCUGCUGAUGCAGGGGACAUGGGUUCGAGCCCUGGUCUGGGAGGAUCCCACAUGCCGCGGUGCGGCUGGGCCCAUGAGCCACAAUUACUGAGCCUGCGCAUCUGGAGCCUGUGCUCCGCAACAAGAGAGGCUGCGAUAGUGAGAGGCCCGCGCACCGCAAUGAAGAGUGGCCCCCACUUGCCACAAGUAGAGAAAGCCCUCGCAUAGAAACGAAGACCCAACACAGCCAU
rnacentral:lncRNA from 1 species